AAAACAAUGAGUAGAAAGUCCUGUCUCAUUCACAUUACAAACUUCAUAGGAGUUGAGUCACACAGACAAACAUCUGUCCCUGAACUCUACCCACCACACAGGAGGAAGGAAGAAGGCCAAUGUAGAAUGAUGACAGCUUCCUGCAGAGUCACAUACAGGUUGAUACAGAUCAUCCAACAGCCGUCAUCACUUACCAUUGAACGCUAUAAGAACAAGAUCAGAGAGAAGAUAAGAUGGAGAGAAGAUAAGAUGGAGAGAAGAUAAGAUGGAGAGAAGAACAAGAGAAGACAUCCCUCUGUCUCUCUCUCUCUCUCUCUCUGUCUCUCUCUCUCUCUCUCUCUGUCUGUCUGUCUCUCUCUCU